rnacentral:lncRNA from 1 species
UGUCACCCGGACAGCGUGUCACCCAGAGACCGUCACCCGUGGAGACACCGUGCGGCCGGGAUGGAGCCGUGCCAGCCCAGCUGUCUGCCAGGGCUGAGGCAUGAGAGCAGCCCCGUGAAUGCCUCCAGCGGGAUGGUCCAUGGGCAGAACCAUACCCGAGGAAAAAAAACGUGCUUUUCUGCUUUUAGAGGGCUGAUGCCAAACUCGGAGCCGAGUGAUCUUUAAGAGCAAUUUGUUCCCAAGGAGGAAAGGAGUGGAAGUUGUUUUCCUAAGGAGCAGACAUGAGACUUGGAAAAACUACUGGAGAAAACUGGCUUUACACAGAAGGUGGAGAAACUGAUUGCACAAAGCAUUGUGAGCAGGGAAAAACCUGCUGGAGGAAAAUGUCAGAGCGUCCAUUAGUCUUGGAAGGGGGCAAGACCAACAUGUUACAGAGUGCCAGCGGGCAGGGAAGUCACGGUCCUUCCAGCUCUGGAGGAGGAGGCUGAGGAUGCAAAGGGGAUGUGGCUGUGCUUAUGUUUGGCACCAAAACGCUGGGACAAAUGCAGU